rnacentral:rRNA from 1 species
UACGGGGGGGGCAAGCGUUGUUCGGAAUUACUGGGCGUAAAGGGCUCGUAGGCGGCCCUCUCAGUCGGAUGUGAAAUCCCCAGGCUUAACCUGGGAACGGCAUCCGAUACUGGAGGGCUUGAAUUCGGGAGAGGGAUGCAGAAUUCCAGGUGUAGCGGUGAAAUGCGUAGAUAUUGGGAAGAACACCAGUGGCGAAGGCGGCUAACUGGUCCAGAUCUGACGCUGAGGUGCGAAAGCGUGGGGAGCAAACAGG